AUGAGGAACCCUGGAACCUGUAAACUCCUUCUCCUCUGUUGGUAGCCUUGGCCCUUAACCCAGUAUCCUGUAGGCUCACACUGGCUUCAGACUUUUAACAUUGUGAUUUGGGGCCUGACAUGUUGGAGGCCCAGGUCAUCCAGGUCAGCUAUGUAGGCUCCAUACAGUUUCAGGGAGCAACAGCAAAGAACCAACUGCAAGGAUGCAACUUUGGGCUGCUUAGAUGGAGCAGGAGCCACCUGAAUAUUGGGAGAAGGAGAAAACACAAGUCCUGUACUUGUCACAGACCAAUGAGUUCUUCAGUUCGUGGUAGAUUACUAUGAACACAGAUUGGAUGGAUAUCACACCCUGCAGGGAAUGUAUGGCUGCAAUGUGGCCAAUGAUGGGAGCUUCCUUCUUGGUCACAAUCGGUUCACUUACUGUGGCUAUGAUUACACCAUCCUGAAUGAGAACCUGAGGUCUUGGAAUGCACAGGACAAGGUAGCUCAAACGCUGAGGGAUUCCUGGGAGGCUGAAGGCAUUACAGAAAUUUGGAGGACUUACCUGCUAGGGGAGUGCACAGAAAGGCUUCUUAGAUGCCUGGACCUUGGAAAGGAGACCUUGCUGCGCUCGAUGCCCCCAAACACAUGUGACCCACCAUGUAAGACCUGAAGAGAAUGUCACCCUGAGGUGCUGGGCCCUGGGCUUCUACCCAGCUGACAGCACCCUGACCUGGAAGAGGAAUGGGAAAAACCACACCCAGGACAUGGAGCUGCCAGACACCAGGCCUGCAGGGGAUGGAACCUUCCAGAAGUGGGCAGCUGUGUUGGUUCCUUCUGGAGAAGAGCUGAGAUACACAGGCCAUGUGUACCAUGAAAGGUUACCUGAGCCUCUCACUCUGAAAUGGGAGCCUCCACAAACCAUCCCCAUAAUAGCAAUUCUAUUUAACCUGGUUCUGUG
rnacentral:lncRNA from 1 species